rnacentral:rRNA from 1 species
AUGUGUAUACCAAAAAAGCCAGAAGGCAUGGGGUUUAGGGAUAUCCAGUGUUUCAACCUCGAACUGUUAGCUAAACAGGCAUGGCGGCUGAUUGACAAUCUGGAAUCUUUAUGUGCAGUAAUUUUAAAGGCAAAGUAUUUUUUAGAGGGAGGCCUUAUGGAUGCUACAUUGAAAAGAAAAACACCAUUCACAUGGUAGAGUAUCAUGGCAGGAGCAGAGACAUCGAGGACAGGGUAUAUUUGGAGAAUUGGGGACAGUCAGAGCGUUAUCAUUUGGAAUGAUCCCUGGAUACCUCAGUCAACUUUCAAAAAGGUUCUAACUGUCUGUGGGAAUAAUCUUUCUUUCACGUGUAUCUGA